UGAAGUACUUUUGACAAGAGUAAAUGAGAGACUGGGUGUGUAGAUUUGUUGCGAGUAGAGUCUAGAGGAAAGGUUUGUGGUGUGGGAUACAGAUAUGAAUUCCAGAAAUAUGCGGUCUGCAGGCUGGACGGGACCUGAAGGGUCAGAAUGUGCUAUUCCUGUGCUAUCCGAGACCUGUCUAUCCAGAAGGACAGGCACACACGGAUAGAUAGACAGGUAGACAGAUAGAUUCGCUAUGUAUUAUCUCAUGUAAGAGUCCUUUGCUGAGUCUCUUUGUAUAUUCCAGACCCCCUUGCCCAACUGACAGACUCACUAUGGGCUCUUAAUCAUAUACCUGAGGGUAGGAGAUUCUGAAACCUCUUUAUAGCACUGUGCAAAUACACAGCAGUACUUUGGUGACGGCACCAAGCUGACCGUGCUCGGUAAGUUUUCUCCAGGCCAUUGUGUUUCCUAUGCCAAAGAGGUUCCUUUAGUUAGGGGACUUCAGAGUAGGGUCAAUUGAAAGCUUCAGGAGGCAGGAUUAAACGAAUGUACUCACUUGGCUAAAAGGCAGCUUAGGGAGAGCAUGAGAACCAUUCACAAAGGUGCAGAGAGGCAAAAGAGCCCCUGUCCUCAGGCAGGCUGCCAGGGCUGGGACAAAACCUGAGAGAAUGGACUGUAAGGAAGAGAGGAGCUCUUCUCUGUCUCUUACUCCUCUAAUCUGAAUCCAACAUGCACAUCCCAAAACAUUGGCAAGCAUUAGACAGGCCGACUUUUUGCCAGAGUAGAUUCAGGACUUGAGGAAGGGGGGAAAAAGAAUAUAACUGUACAAAAAGAGUACAAGAAACAGCAGCCUCCUAGGAGGAGGGUAUGUGUUUGCAGGUAGUGGUUCUAUCACUGUGUUCAUACUCUGAAGCGUACUUCGGCGAGGGCACCAAACUCACCGUGCUAGAGGAUGGGCUCAAUAUCACAGAGCCUGAAGUGGCCAUCUUUGCCCCAUCACAGAAAGAGAUCAAAGAGAAGAAAAAGGCUACGCUGGUGUGUGUGGCCACAGGCUUCUACCCCGACCACAUCAAGGUGACCUGGAAGGUCAAUGGUGGUGAGAGGACAGAGGGUGUGGGGACAGAUGAGCAUGCCACCCGGGACAACCAAACAAAGAUGUACUCCCUGACCAGCCGCCUGAGGAUCCCCAGCCAGGAGUGGUUCAACCCCAAGAACAAUUUCCAGUGUCUUGUCAGCUUCUAUGGCAAAGAUCCAACACCAAAAAGAUAUCCUAAAGCCAUUCAAGGUGUAGCAGGUUGCAGUGUCACUGAAGAGUUGUACCAGAGAAGUUCCAGAACUGGGUAUUUUGUGUACCUGAUGCUUUUUUUCAAGAGUAUCUUGUAUGGGUUGUUUGUGAUGGGGCUUAUACUACGGAGCAAGAAGAUGCACUAGAAGCUCACUUUCAUAAAGAAGCAGGCCAGAGCCUUCGUACAGGGCUACAUAAUGGAGAAGAUGCACGUACACCAGCCCCACAACUCCUGUUUGUUUCAG